CAGGAAAAAUUUAAUGUGAGUUUUUCGUCUUAAACCUACACUUAUCAGUUCAAAAGUGAAGAGGCAGAGGUCUAGGCAUAAUUAACUUUUGGAAGCUCAAAACAAGGUUCAACUAUUUCACAUCCCGCAAUCAAGCACAACGGCUAGACGUAGAAGAAGAGGUCCGGGAAUUGAGCAGCUGUAUGCGCAGAGGUUUGCCGAGGAUUCUCUACCUAUAUCUAAACAUCAAACUUUGAUAAAAUGAGCUUCCAAGCAACGAGGUCGUGGACCUGGUGUCAACAAUAUGAUAAAUUCCCAAGAACCUUUCCUUGCUCCUCGCAAAGCGCCAUUAGUUGGUAAUUUUUUAAAGGUUGGUAUGAAGGAUCAUGUACAUUGCUAGAUUUCACAAUGUUUAUAUCAUCUGCAGCUCUAGACGCACAGGUAGAGGUCAAGUGUUGAAAAACUGUUGGCACUGAGAUUUGGCGACGAAACUGGCAACACAACCAAAAAUAUUAGAGGAACAGAAGAAGGCGCCAUUUACCUCUACGCAGUAUUAUACUCAAAUUAUACCAUAUAACUAAUAAUUUCUUUUUCUCUUCUCCUUCAUUUGCAGCUUAUGUGACUUAUCCGUAUACUAAUGGUGGAACCCACGUGUCUCCGAACACUUCCGGUUAGUAGUCCAUCAUUCUUCUAUCUUAUAUGAUCCGAUACUAAUUUCAAUCUUCAUGUUCACUUAAGAGUGUAGGACUCCAAGUAGUACUCUAACGUUCCGGGGAUCAAUGAUGAGGAGAAGCAAUUCUCUUCGCAAAGCAUGAAGAUUUAUGCACCUCACAACAUGUUUGAAUCUCCAGGUUCUCCUUUCACCUCAACCUGGUGUUUUGACACGACUACACGAAUUAAGUACUAAAAGCAUCAACAUUCCAUGUGUACGCAGUAGACAGAAGCACAUCCCGUUGUCAACAUCCAUUUUCUUCUUCAAGUGUUAUGGUUCAUAAUCAUCACUCUGGUAUGCAGGUCAUUCUUAUUUUGAAAUUGGUCACCUAAAACCCAGUUUGUAAUAGAUAUGAUACUUUAGUAAUUAAAUAUCCACCAUGGUAUAUUCUCGAUAGAAGUUAGCUUAAAUACAAGAUAAAUUCACUGAUACCAGAAGUUAGCUCUGUUCUCAGCAGGAAAAUUGAACAUGGCUUCUGCAUUGUUCCGGGGUAUUGCAGCAUUGGCUGGGAGUUUAAUUUGCUAGGGGUAUUACCUUCUUUAUUUUAAAAGGAUAUUUCAGUGAGCACUGCUUUUUAGUAAUUUUCCGGUUCUUCUUACUUUUUUUGUAAGACUUUCUUUUAUUAUUUUAUGACAAUUAACUUUGGUAUUAUCUAGUAAAUAGAUGUUCUAUUGUUUUCUUCUUCGACUUUGGAGAAGACAUCAGUACUACUUGGAAGACAUCAGCACAAUCAAAUUGUUAUUGGUUUUCUGUUGAUCAUCAUUUACGGAUGUUGUAUUUCAUUAAACAGAGAAUUGUGUUUUUAUUUUUUGGGUGUGGUCAGUACUCCAUACUGUCGGGCAUCCGACUUCAGGCCUGGAUAGACUACUGACCUGUAUGUUUUGUUUUUUGUUUUUUCUUAAUUCUGUUUCAGAGAAAAAUACGAUAUUAAUCACUACAAAUAAGUUUUUAUUCGGUAUUUCAAAUCAUUUGUCGUGUUUAACAAGAUCUAGAUUUCAAUUUAAUUUGAAACUGAUAAUAAUCUUCUCUUCUCCAGAUUUCUAAUUCUUGAAUCUUAUUGUCGUCCACAUGUUGGUAUUCUCCUCUCCUCAUGAUCGGAUACUAUUGUUUCGAUUGAUUAUUACAUAAUAUCUCUUUAAAUAAAAUUAUAGUUUUGUUCAUUCUGAUUAAGCACAGGUAGCUAUAUUUUAAGUAAUUCGGUCAACAGGAUUUCAUUCUGCAGGCAGAUGCACAAGUAGGUAUCGUCUUAUACUCCCAACUCAUCAAUUUCAUUUUUUUAUGGUGCAAAUAACCAUUCCAAUAUAGAAUUUUAACUUGAACAUUAUCCUACAAGCUUUAGACUAUUUUUGUUCUGGACAAAGUCACAUGUAUUCUGUAGUACUUUACUUUGACCACAUCAGGUUUCGGUCACACAAGGUCCUCAUCCUGAUCAAGGGUUUAAAGGAAAGAGGUGCAGAUGAACGGCAAAAAUACUUUUGCAGCUCCAAGGAAUGUCAGGCCACUUGGUUAUACUAACAACAUUAACACAAAAUCUGAUGUGGUCGGGGAAGUUGCAGACGAGCAGCCGAAAUCUAAUGACAAGUUUAGAAAAAUGUUGUUCAGAAAAUGAAAGAAGAGAGAAGUAAUACCAUAAUGAUGGUCAUGUAAUUCCUCUGGGGUUGAUCUAUACAAGAUUGCU